AACGCAUCUUGCGCUCCUUGGUAUUCCGAGGAGCAUGCCUGUUUGAGUGUCACGUAAUACUCUCAAUUUCAAUCUUUUUUGUUUGAAAUUGGAUUUGGGUGUUGUUGUGAAAAGCAUCACGACUCGUCCGAAAUGCAUUAGCGACGCCCUUUGCCUUUCGCAAUGUGAUAAGUAAAAAGCAUUGUUAAGAUUUAAGGGUCAGGUUGCUUCUAACUCAUGAGACUUAUGCCGUUUGACCUCAAAUCAGGUAGGACUACCCGCUGAACUUAA
rnacentral:misc_RNA from 1 species